ensembl:lncRNA
AGGCUAUAUACAGGGGGUACUGGUACAGAGUCAAUGUGGAGGCUAUAUAGAGGGGGUACUGGUACAGAGUCAAUGUGGAGGCUAUAUACAGGGGGUACAGAGUCAAUGUGGAGGCUAUAUACAGGGGGCACCGGUACAGAGUCAAUGUGGAGACUAUAUACAGGGGGUACUGGUACAGAGUCAAUGUGGAGGCUAUAUACAGGGGGUACUGGUACAGAGUCAAUGUGGAGGCUAUAUACAGGGGGUACUGGUACAGAGUCAAUGCGGAGGC